GAAUGUUCCAUGUGCUGAGAAGAAUGUGUAUCCUGUGGCUUUGGGGUAGAAUGUUCUGUAAAUGUCUCUUAGGUCCUUUUGGUCUAGAGUCCAGUUUAAGUUCAGCAUUUUUAAUUUUUUUUUUUUUGCUGAUUUUCUAUCUCAAUGAUCUGUCGAGUGCUGUAUGGGGAGUGUUAAAGUCCGUCACUACUAUUGUAUUGCUGUCUAUCUCAUUCUUCAGGUCUAGUAAUAUGUGUUUUCUAUAUCUGGGUGCUUCAGUGUUGGGUGCACAUACAUUUAAGGUUGUUAUAUCCUCUUGCUGAAUUGAUCCCUUUCUCAUUAUAUAAUGACCUUUGGGUUGUUUUUUCUUUUUUUACUGUUUUUGAUUGAUAGUCUGUUUUACCUGAUACAAGUAUAUCUAUUCUUGCUCACUUUUGGUUUUCCUUUUCAGGGAAUAUCAUUUUCCAUCUCUUUACUCUUUGUCUAAAUGAUGUGUCUUUACAGAUGAAGGUCUCCCCUCUGAAGAAGUAGAUCUACUGGAAGGCAUCACUACCAUGAGAAUGUGACUUGGAUAACCACCGGUCCAUGGAGAAUGAGAAACACAUGAGAGCGAAUGAUCCCAAUUUACUACCUGGAGUAAAUCACAAUCCCAGCUGACCCAGAUGUGUCAGGCAUCCUAAGGUCAACCUGUACUAAAUGAUUGAAGAUUGAAAUUGAUUAUGAUGCCCUGAUCUUAUAUAUCGGAUUUGAAGUUCUUUUGCUCAAGGGCUAUCAGGAGAACAGAUUUCAGUGAGUUUGACUUCUGGCAACAUCAGCCAAAAUCUCUGGCAGGCACAAAGAUGCAGGUAUCCAUAAGGUUGAAUAGUCCAUGCUUUAAAACUGAAGACUGAAUAUUUUUUUUACUGAACCACUUAAAUCUUAGAACUUAAAAUUCUGUACUUCCUACAUAUAUUGUGAUUUAAACUUCUAUGAAAUAAAAUAACAAAGCUAGGGUAGUAUUCUUGGACAAUUGUGCAAAGUCAUUCUGUACAAUGACCUCUCUAAUCUAAUGGGGGGAGUGAUGGUUGUGUUAUUAAAAGAAAUGCUAUUAUCUUCUACAAGAAGAUCAAAAUUAUAAACUAUCAUACAUGGGUUGAAGAAGUAGAUGUAACAUAAAAAUUACAAUCCUUGGCAUAAAAUAAGGAAACACCAACUGGGAGAGAGAGGGAGGGAUGGAGAGAGGGAGAGAAAGAGAGAGGGGGAGAGAGAGAGAGAGAGAGAGAGAGAGAGAGAGAGAGAGAGAGAAGGAAUGCCUGUCAAUACUUGCCAAGAUAUUAGAACUGCAAGUGUUGGAAAUGGAUUACUAAAAGUGGCAUAUAAUUAUGUAUAAAGAAUGAAAUUUGAUAUCUCAUUGAUCCACAUCUAUUAAAAACUAUUCAUUGUAAACUAAGUGGAUCAACACACACAGUUUUAAUUUACUUUCAAAAAAAGAAAAGAAGCCUUGAGAUUUUUGUCAUUUUUGAUACCAUUUAAUUUAGUUUCAUAGUAACAAAUAUGAAUUAGCAGCUACAUGCUAUGUGCCAGUAACUGAAUACUGUAUUUUAUAUCUUUAUCACAUUCCAUGUUCACAUUCUUAUAAGGGAAUUGGUAUUACUCCCUGUUGUAUAGAUGAAGAAACGUCAUAUAUAUGUAGUAAAACUGGGGAGAUAUUUAGCAAUUAGUAAAGGCUGUGAAAAGUGGACAUUAUUGAAUCAUAAUUAAGAGUCAUACAGUCAUGAAUUUGAAUCACAACUUAGUCUUUUGCUGGCCAUUGGACUUUGGACAAAUCACAUUCAUUCUAUGAGUUCUAGUUUUCCUCAGUGUACAUGAAGGGUCUGAUAGUGAGCAUAUUUAUAUAUUUUUAACUGUCAAUUGAAUAACAUACAUAAAGCUCAUUCUAAUAAGCAUAUAUACAUUGAGUGUAGUGUAUAACAUUCAACGACUGUGGGUUUAUACUGUUUAAUAAUCUGUUUAAUACUUUAAUAAUACUGUUUAAUACUAUUUAAUCUGUUUAAUACUUCAAAAAAUGAUAAUGUUAUCACAAAGUAUUGCCCAGGUUUGUUUUUCUCUUUACACUUAAGCCAGAACUCUCACUGUAUGAGUGCCAAAACCACAUGCUUCUCAUUCUCUUACUGCUUUGAUGCAAAUUAACAAAAAUGAUUUAUUCUCCUUUUUCUUUUAUCUUUCUAUAAAAUUAAUAUACUUAUUUAGGGUAUGACUGCUGACACUGUGGUGGUUCAAAGAAGUAUACGAGAGAAUUUCUUAUUUCCUAGUAACAUUUUUUAGGUUACAAAGGUACUCCCAAAUUUUAUAAAGUUUCAAGAUAGCAUUGAAUAUGCUUAAUAGUUUUUCAAAAAAUAUAUCAUUAUUUAGUUUGAUUAAAUGAAUUGGAAGUUUAGCAUUAUAUAUGGGAUCAUUGUACCUAAUUAUUAUAUGAGAAACUUCCAAAUAUGGACCUACUGCACAAAUAUGGACUCUAGUAUAAACUCAAAGAGAUUGAUAUUUUAUGAUUUCAUCUACAACCUUUAUAACUAAUGAAAAUAUCUGUUCCAUCACAUAGUUGUAACUAACAUACACACAAAUACUAAGUUUCAAAAUAAUUUUAGAGAAAGAGAUUCACUUUAAUAUCAGUAGCAUUGUUUCCCCUAAACCAGCCUGACAUCCGAUGGUUAACUCCUGCUUAUGUUUCAGAAAUCAGAUUAACCUUACUUUCUCUACUAAGCCCUCCUUAAACUGAGUCCAUU